ACGUAGGUGGCGAGCGUUGUCCGGAUUUACUGGGCGUAAAGAGCGCGCAGGCGGCUGGUCAAGUCCGAUGUGAAAGCUCCCGGCUUAACUGGGAAAUUGCAUCGGAAACUGAUCGGCUGGAAGGUGGGAGAGGGUAGCGGAAUUCCCGGUGUAGUGGUGAAAUGCGUAGAUAUCGGGAGGAACACCAGUGGCGAAAGCGGCUACCUGGCCCAUUCUUGACGCUGAGGCGCGAAAGCUAGGGGAGCAAACGGGA
rnacentral:rRNA from 1 species